rnacentral:rRNA from 1 species
GGGUCUCCGGGGGGGCCUAAUACAUGCAAGUCGAGCGGACAGAUGGGAGCUUGCUCCCUGAUGUUAGCGGCGGACGGGUGAGUAACACGUGGGUAACCUGCCUGUAAGACUGGGAUAACUCCGGGAAACCGGGGCUAAUACCGGAUGCUUGUUUGAACCGCAUGGUUCAAACAUAAAAGGUGGCUUCGGCUACCACUUACAGAUGGACCCGCGGCGCAUUAGCUAGUUGGUGAGGUAACGGCUCACCAAGGCAACGAUGCGUAGCCGACCUGAGAGGGUGAUCGGCCACACUGGGACUGAGACACGGCCCAGACUCCUACGGGAGGCAGCAGUAGGGAAUCUUCCGCAAUGGACGAAAGUCUGACGGAGCAACGCCGCGUGAGUGAUGAAGGUUUUCGGAUCGUAAAGCUCUGUUGUUAGGGAAGAACAAGUACCGUUCGAAUAGGGCGGUACCUUGACGGUACCUAACCAGAAAGCCACGGCUAACUACGUGCCAGCAGCCGCGGUAAUACGUAGGUGGCAAGCGUUGUCCGGAAUUAUUGGGCGUAAAGGGCUCGCAGGCGGUUUCUUAAGUCUGAUGUGAAAGCCCCCGGCUCAACCGGGGAGGGUCAUUGGAAACUGGGGAACUUGAGUGCAGAAGAGGAGAGUGGAAUUCCACGUGUAGCGGUGAAAUGCGUAGAGAUGUGGAGGAACACCAGUGGCGAAGGCGACUCUCUGGUCUGUAACUGACGCUGAGGAGCGAAAGCGUGGGGAGCGAACAGGAUUAAAUACCCUGGUAGUCCACGCCGUAAACGAUGAGUGCUAAGUGUUAGGGGGUUUCCGCCCCUUAGUGCUGCAGCUAACGCAUUAAGCACUCCGCCUGGCGAGUACGGUCGCAAGACUGAAACUCAAAGGAAUUGACGAGCGCCCGCACAAGCGUUGGAGCAUGUGGUUUAGUUCAAAGCAACGCGAAAGACUUUACCAGGUCUUGACAUCCUCUGACAAUCCUAGAGAUAGGACGUCCCCUUCCGCGUCAGAGUGACAGAUGGUGCAGGGGUGUCGUCCUCU